GAUGAACGCUGGCGGCGUGCCUAAUACAUGCAAGUCGAGCGAACAGACGAGGAGCUUGCUCCUCUGACGUUAGCGGCGGACGGGUGAGUAACACGUGGAUAACCUACCUAUAAGAUUGGGAUAACUUCGGGAAACCGGAGCUAAUACCGGAUAAUAUAUUGAACCGCAUGGUUCAAUAGUGAAGGACGGUUUUGCUGUCACUUAUAGAUGGAUCCGCGCCGCAUUUGCUAGUUGGUAAGGUAACGGCUUACCAAGGCGACGAUGCGUAGCCGACCUGAGAGGGUGAUCGGCCACACUGGAACUGAAACACGGUCCAGACUCCUACGGGAGGCAGCAGUAGGGAAUCUUCCGCAAUGGGCGGAAGCCUGACGGAGCAACGCCGCGUGAGUGAUGAAGGUCUUCGGAUCGUAAAACUCUGUUAUUAGGGAAGAACAAAUGUGUAAGUAACUAUGCACGUCUUGACGGUACCUGAUCAGAAAGCCACGGCUAACUACGUG
rnacentral:rRNA from 1 species